rnacentral:rRNA from 1 species
UAGCUAGUUGGUGAGGUAAAGGCUUACCAAGGCGACGAUCUGUAGCGGGUCUGAGAGGAUGAUCCGCCACACUGGAACUGAGACACGGUCCAGACUCCUACGGGAGGCAGCAGUGGGGAAUUUUGGACAAUGGGGGCAACCCUGAUCCAGCCAUGCCGCGUGAGUGAAGAAGGCCUUCGGGUUGUAAAGCUCUUUCGGCCGGGAAGAAAUCGCAUGGGCCAAUACCCUGUGUGGAUGACGGUACCGGAAUAAGAAGCACCGGCUAACUACGUGCCAGCAGCCGCGGUAAUACGUAGGGUGCGAGCGUUAAUCGGAAUUACUGGGCGUAAAGCGUGCGCAGGCGGUUUUGUAAGACAGGCGUGAAAUCCCCGGGCUUAACCUGGGAACUGCGUUUGUGACUGCAAGGCUAGAGUACGGCAGAGGGGGGUGGAAUUCCACGUGUAGCAGUGAAAUGCGUAGAGAUGUGGAGGAACACCAAUGGCGAAGGCAGCCCCCUGGGUCGAUACUGACGCUCAUGCACGAAAGCGUGGGUAGCAAACAGGAUUAGAUACCCUGGUAGUCCACGCCCUAAACUAUGUCAACUAGGUGUUGGGUGGGUAAAACCAUUUAGUACCGUAGCUAACGCGUGAAGUUGACCGCCUGGGGAGUACGGCCGCAAGGUUAAAACUCAAAGGAAUUGACGGGGACCCGCACAAGCGGUGGAUGAUGUGGAUUAAUUCGAUGCAACGCGAAAAACCUUACCUACCCUUGACAUGCCAGGAACUUGCCAGAGAUGGCUUGGUGCCCGAAAGGGAGCCUGGACACAGGUGCUGCAUGGCUGUCGUCAGCUCGUGUCGUGAGAUGUUGGGUUAAGUCCCGCAACGAGCGCAACCCUUGUCGUUAAUUGCCAUCAUUUAGUUGGGCACUUUAACGAGACUGCCGGUGACAAACCGGAGGAAGGUGGGGAUGACGUCAAGUCCUCAUGGCCCUUAUGGGUAGGGCUUCACACGUCAUACAAUGGUUGGUACAAAGGGUUGCCAAGCCGCGAGGCGGAGCCAAUCCCAGAAAGCCGAUCGUAGUCCGGAUUGCAGGCUGCAACUCGCCUGCAUGAAUUCGGAAUCGCUAGUAAUCGUGGAUCAGCAUGUCACGGUGAAUACGUUCCCGGGUCUUGUACACACCGCCCGUCACACCAUGGGAGCGGGUUCCGCCAGAAGUAGGUAGCCUAACCGCAAGGGGGGCGCUUACCACGGCGGGGUUCGUGACUGGGGUGAAGUCGGAACAAGGUAGCCGUAGGGGAACCUGCGGCUG